GACGAACGCUGUCGGCGUGACUAAUACAUGCAAGUAGAACGAGUUGCGAACGGGUGAGUAACGCGUGGUAACCUGCCUCAUAGCGGGGGAUAACUAUUGGGAACGAUAGCUAAUACCGCAUAAUGUGAGAUGGAACUGCGUUGUAUUAGCUAGUUGGUGAGGUAAAGGCUAACCAAGGCGACGAUACAUAGCCGACCUGAGAGGGUGAGCGUCCACACUGGGACUGAGACACGGUCCAGACUCCUACGGGAGGCAGCAGUGGGGAAUAUUGCACAAUGGGCGCAAGCCUGAUGCAGCCAUGCCGCGUGUAUGAAGAAGGCCUUCGGGUUGUAAAGUACUUUCAGCGGGGAGGCGUUACCCGCAGAAGAAGCACCGGCUAACUCCGUGCCAGCAGCCGCGGUAAUUC
rnacentral:rRNA from 1 species